CACGGUUCCAAAGGCUAAACAGCACCAGCUGUCACUUACACAAUUUAUGAGGUAUCCUUACAGACACAGAAAGCGAACUUUUCACAGCGAAGAGCCAUAAAACCCUGGCUAACAGUUAGAUCAACUGAGUAACCCUUUCAAUGCUGGCUAGAUCCUCCUAGGCAUAUAGUAUCCUAUUCUCCUGUGAUUUUCAAUUAAAUUAACAUUUGAACCAGCUCAUUAGUCAUUUCCUG